rnacentral:tRNA from 1 species
GGAGAGGUGGCUCAGUGGUUAAGAGCACUGAUUGUUCUUCUAGAGGACUUGGGUUCAAUUCCCAGCAUCCACA